rnacentral:rRNA from 1 species
GAACGUCGUGAGACAGUUCGGUCCCUAUCUGCCGUGGACGUUGGAAAAUUGAGAAGAGCUGCUCCUAGUACGAGAGGACCGGAGUGGACGAACCGCUGGUGUUCGGGUUGUCAUGCCAAUGGCAUUGCCCGGUAGCUACGUUCGGACGGGAUAACCGCUGAAAGCAUCUAAGCGGGAAGCCCCCUUCAAGAUAAGUUUUCCCUGAGACUAUAAGUCUCCUGAAGGGCCCAGUAAGACUAACUGGUUGAUAGGCAGGGUGUGUAAGCGUUGUGAGGCGUUGAGCUAACCUGUACUAAUUGCCCGUGCGGCU